AUGCCACCGCUGGCGCCGCCUGGCCGCCCGCUGCCUCCCUCCCGCCCCUCCUCUCCUCGGCUACUUCCACCACCCAACCCACCCCCUCCCCCGUUCCCCGGCCGGGAUACCAAGCUCGAGGACACCCCCGCCGUGUUCGCUCCCCUCGAUGCCGCCUCCCCGCGCCUCACCCUCGACUUCGCUCCGGACGCCUUCCGCUUCCUCCUCUUCGACUCGCUCCAAGGCCUCUUGCUUUUCGAGUCGUCCGACGAGAUACAGAAGGACAAGGGGGCCAUGCCCCGCUUCCUCGUCCUCGACCCGCCCACCCGCCGCCGCACGGUCCUCCCGCCCCCGCGCCGCGACACGGUGCCCGAUGACCGCCGCUGGCGCAGAUCGAGGUACUACAUCGGCUCCGCGCUGCUCUCCCGCGCUCACCCGAGCAAGCUCUGCUUCCAGGCUGUCUGCUUCGCCAUCGAGGAGGGGCGCCCUCGCGCCUGGGUCGCGUCCGUCACCAACGGCGACUGCAGCUGGCGCGCGCUCCCGCGGGACGAGGAGGCCGAGGUCGACUUCAAUCCCUGGUUGUUCGAAAACCGCGGCGUGCACGCAGGCGGGAAGAUAUACUGGCACAUCUGCAACUCUCCGCGCAUGCUCGCGCUGGACCCUGUCACACUCAGGUUCUCCUACCUGCACGGCCCGCGCGCGCUGGCUGUCGACCCGAUAACUGUGUGCAAGGUCCGCGUCGGGGAGACGCCGGAUGGGCGGCUUUGCUUGGUGACCGACGGCGAGCAGCAGCUGCAGCUCUGGGUGCGCGGGGAGGGCAGGGGGAGCGACAAAGGUUGGCUUCUGCAGAAGAGUGUCGCGGAGUUGAGCACGCUGUGCGACAUGAUUCCUGGCAUGCCCAGCGACGCGGAAAUGAUUCCUGGACCUCGCAAGCCCACCGACAUCGAGAUGGUUCCUGGCAUGCCCUGCGAACGGACUGUUUGCGUCUGGCCCAGCGACAUGGACGUCGGUCGCACGGGGAAGGUGUUCAUCAAGACCUGGGGAUUUGGGCGCUACUCGUACGAUAUGUACACCGGCAAGCUGGAGCGCCUGGCGACGAAGCGUGGCAAGGAAUAUGGGCACCCCAUGUUCGCCUACUUCCUGGCAUGGCCACCCGCCUUCCUCGCUCCAGACCCAGAGCCGUUUGGUGAUUUGUAA
rnacentral:rRNA from 1 species